CACAAAUUAAAAAAAAAAAAAAAAAAUCCUGUUUUUCGGUUUCUCUUCCUUUGUAAGAUGAAAAGAUUGAAAAUUUUUAUUUAAGACAAUCUGGGGUGGAGAUUGCCGGCUCUGAUGUCGACUAUUUCCAUUCACGGACCUGACUUCUCUGGUUUUCUAAAUGAUGGAUUCAGAAAUCAUCCAAGAUUUCACAGGAUCGCUGCUUCUUUGACAGUGGCCAUGGAUUCUAGGUCUUCUCAAACGAGGAAGAAGGAAGGGCUAUCGAUACAACUUCCAGCACCAUCUAUUUCUCAAAUUGAGACCUCGAGGCUACCUGAUCUGCGAUUUGACCGUCUUCAAAUACCCGAGAAGGAUUUGGUACAUGAGGACAAGUUAGAAUUUGGGCAAUUUGUGGCACGAGAAGCUAUAAUUGAUGAAGAAUUCUGGACAGCAGCCUGGCUACGAGCAGAAAGCCACUGGGAAGAUCGAACAAAUGAUCGAUAUGUUGAUAACCACAAAAGGAAGUUUGCAGAGCAGGAGUUCCAUGCCAUAAAAAAGCGUCGAACAGGUCUACAUGGACAAAACUGUUGUUGUGUUGUUGCGGAGCGGGUGAAGGUUCCUAUCUUCCGCAGUUUCUGCCGGAGGGGCCNACUGUACUGAAAAGUGUAGUUGGAACUCUUGAUUUGAGCAUUCGGUGCUUAUUGCAGGGAG
rnacentral:misc_RNA from 1 species